rnacentral:sRNA from 1 species
GCCAGGCGUGGUGGUGCACGCCUGUAAUCCCAGGUACUUGGGAGGCUGAGGCAGGAGGAUUGAAAGUUUGCCCAGCCUGGGCAACUUAGUGAAACUGUCUCAA